rfam:Gossypium arboreum cultivar AKA8401 contig_1713_9, whole genome shotgun sequence.
AACACAUGAUGAGGAGACCUUUUGAAUAAAUCUUAUACCUCUCCUAUGCAUCAUAUAGAGUCUCUAAGUCAAUCUGCACAAAGGAAGAGAUAUCAUUCCUCAACUU